GACGAACCGUACGAACGUUAUUCGGAAUUACUGGGCUUAAAGGGUGCGUAGGCUGCGCGGAAAGUUGGGUGUGAAAUCCCUCGGCUCAACCGAGGAACUGCGCUCAAAACUACCGUGCUCGAGGGAGACAGAGGUGAGCGGAACUUAGGGUGGAGCGGUGAAAUGCGUUGAUAUCCUAAGGAACACCCGUGGCGAAGGCGGCUCACUGGGCUGACCUUGACGCUGAGGCGCGAAGGCGUGGGGAGCGAACGGG
rnacentral:rRNA from 1 species